CCUACGGGCGGCAGCAGUGGGGAAUAUUACACAAUGGGCGCAAGCCUGAUGCAGCCAUGCCGCGUGUGUGAAGAAGGCCUUCGGGUUGUAAAGCACUUUCAGCGGGGAGGAAGGCGGUGAGGUUAAUAACCUCAUCGAUUGACGUUACCCGCAGAAGAAGCACCGGCUAACUCCGUGCCAGCAGCCGCGGUAAUACGGAGGGUGCAAGCGUUAAUCGGAAUUACUGGGCGUAAAGCGCACGCAGGCGGUCUGUCAAGUCGGAUGUGAAAUCCCCGGGCUCAACCUGGGAACUGCAUUCGAAACUGGCAGGCUAGAGUCUUGUAGAGGGGGGUAGAAUUCCAGGUGUAGCGGUGAAAUGCGUAGAGAUCUGGAGGAAUACCGGUGGCAAAGGCGGCCCCCUGGACAAAGACUGACGCUCAGGUGCGAAAGCGUGGGGAGCAAACAGGAUUAGAUACCCGAGUAGUC
rnacentral:rRNA from 1 species